rnacentral:lncRNA from 1 species
GAGAUUCAGUUGUGCAAGCAAGCGAGUGCAUUUCCUAUGGAAUCAAAGCCCUAGGGUUGGUUCAAUGAGUUCAUAUGAUCCAAGGAUCAUUUUGAAGUGAUUUGGUCAAGCAUUGAAGGCUCAAAGCUCAUCAUUCAAGAUGCAAUUCAUCUGAAACCCUAGAAAGUCAACCAAAGUCAACUAUCAGUUCAAUCAUGGAUUUGAAGGUGGGAGAU